UUUUUUCCCCAUUGUCUUGGGUAAAGUUACUAUGUUGCAUAAACAGGAAAAGAUUUCUUGCUAUAAAUAGAUGCCAAAACUUAAUGAGAGUUCUUUCCCUUUCUACUGAUUUCUAAAAAGUUCCUAAGAGUGGUAGUGAAUAGAACGCAAUCCAUUUGGCGAAAGGUUGUGGUGUUGUUUUUGCUGCUCCUCUGCAUUCCAAAAGAAGGAUAGAAUUUAGUCAGAGUAAGGAAGGGCCUCCUUCCUAACAUGGGGUAAAUAAAAUGUAUUGGUCCAUAGAAUGGAAUUAUGGACAGUAGCGAAGGUGUUGUUGCUCUCUUUCUGAGUUCUCGAGCAUUUGCUGCUGAGGUCAUGUUGUUGAUUGCUUCAUGGUCCUUUUUCUCAGUAAUGAGCUAACAUAAGUCGAAAGUGAUUGAUUCAAUUAUCAAUCUGAUGUAUCUAUGUCUAUAAAGAUGUUGCUAUUUUAUCCAGUGUUCCAUGAACAUACCAAGUACUCUUCGGCUUUACUAAUGCCAUACCAUUUCUUAGCUAAUCGGACAAGUAGCUUAUCGCUCUUUGAAGAGAAGUCUAAACUGGAUGGCUCCAGAGCUCAUACAAUCCUCGAUGGCGAAUAAUUACAGCAUGGAUCUCGAUCGUACUGUCGACAUGUGGAGUUUGGGAUGUACUAUUAUCAAAACGAUUACUGGGAAACCUCCUCGGAGUAUGAGUGGGCUGAAGCUAUAUUUACGGUGAUGCAAAGUUCUCCAGCAAUACCUGAGAUGUUAUCUGCCGAGGGAAAGGAUUUCCUAUAGUGCUACUUUCGAAGACAGCCUGCGGAGAAGCCUUCUGCUGCUAUGCUACUUGAGCAUGCUUUCCUGCAAAUUUGAAGUUGCAGAUGACUGACUUAUUUCAAGUGCCGUAUGUUAUCACAAAAGGGAUGUUGUCCUGUGAAGUUCCAUAUUUACUAAACCAAAAGAAUCACACGGUCCAUAGAUGUGAUGAAGUACUUGUAUAUAGACAAAAUGAGACACAUGUUCCUCUUGCAUGGUUUGACUGGCAGCAUACCGAU